UACGAAGGGGGCUAGCGUUGUUCGGAUUUACUGGGCGUAAAGCGCACGUAGGCGGUUUGUUAAGUCAGGGGUGAAAUCCCACAGCUCAACUGUGGAACUGCCUUUGAUACUGGCAAGCUAGAGUCCGGAAGAGGUAAGUGGAACUCCUAGUGUAGAGGUGGAAUUCGUAGAUAUUAGGAAGAACACCAGUGGCGAAGGCGGCUCUCUGGGACGGUACUGACGCUGAGACGCGAAAGCGUGGGGAGCGAACAGG
rnacentral:rRNA from 1 species